CUGGUGCUUCUCUUUUUGUGGUGGUGGGGUGGUUUGGUUGCCUACUUUUUGGAGGAAUUUGAGAGAUGAGAAGAUGGAGGAGCUUGUUAGGCUGUUAGAUAAGUAAUGUGGGGGCAUUUUCACACCGGGCUCGAGUGGGGUGGCCUGUGGGAUGCAGGAGCACACUCGGGGUGGGCGGCCCGCAGAACCCAUGGAUUUAGGGCCCGUGUGAGGCGGAACCCAUGGAUUUGGGGCUCACGAGGAGGGUUCGGCCGACGACCUAAUCCAUGGAUUUAGGGUUUGGGCCAUGAGAUAAAGGGACUAGUUCGCCAUGCUCUAUCAGUUCGAGCUUUUAGAGCAUGUGGUUAAUUGUUCUGCAUCAAAUUAGUAUUAGAGCGAUAGGUCUCAUGUUUGAGACUCCUCAUCGGGGGUGAUUAAUGCAGGAGCAUUUUCACACUAGGCUCGAGUGAGGUGGCCUAUGGGAUGCAAGGGCACACUCGAGGUGGGCGGCAUGCAGAACCCAUGAAUUUGGGGCCCGUGUGAGGCGGAACCCAUGGAUUGGGGCCCAUGAGGGAGCAGAACUCAUGGAUUUGUGACUCACGAGGAGGGUUCGACCGAGGACCUAACCCAUGGAUUUGGGUCUUGGGCUAUGAGAUAAAAGGAUUGAUUCGGCAUGCUCUAUCGGUUCGAGCUUUUAGAGCAAGUGGUUAAUUAUCCUACAUUAAUAAGCUCCAAGGAUGCUCUCCAAUAGGGGGAAGAGGGAUUCGAUGGCCUAGAAAUUCGACAAAUCAGGCAGGUUUUUUGUUCGCUCAUUUGAUAAGGUGCUUCAAAAGAUCCCGAUGGAAGAGUGGGCGCUUCAAAAGACCCCGAUGGAACAAUGCCAUCAUCACACGGUCAAGUCUUGGUUCUAUGGUGCUCCUCCUAAGGUUGUGGCUUUUGUGUGGUUAGUGGGGAGGAAGAAGAAUCCAUUAAUCAUCUAUUCAUUUAUUACCCCCUUGCUCAGAAAGUGUGGGAAGGGUGCUUCGAAAUCUUUAAGAUGGUGUGGGUUGCGGGUACAAUUUAAGAUCUUCUUUGGGCUUGGCAGGGAGGUGGGGUUUGUAAACCAAGAUCGAAUGGUAUGGAGGCUAGCUUUUAUGGCAGCUCUUUGGGAUUUGAUGGCCUGGAAAUUCGACAAAUCGGGCAGGUUUUUUGUUACUAAUGAGGUGCUUCAAAAGACCAUGAUGGAAGACUGCCAUCAUCAGACGGCCAAGUCUUGAUUCUAUUGUGCUCCUCCUAAGGUUGUGGCUUUUUUGUGGCUAGUGGGGAGGAAGAAGGUGCAAACUAUUAAUAAUCUUCAAAAUAGGUUGAUGGUGCUUCCCAAUGUUUGCAUAAUGUGUAUGGAAAACAUAUAAUGCAUUAAUCACCAUUGAUUGUCCCUUUGCUCGGAAAGUGUGGAUUGUCACGUAGGGAAGAUUUGUGGAUCACAAACCAUGAGUCCCUAUUAUACCUAGUCAAGUUGUGAGGACACUAUACCUAUCCUCUGGCCAAGGAUCACAUAAUUCCUCUUAUUAAAAAAAAAAAAAAAAAGGAAU